UACCCUGGGGAUAACAGGCUUAUCUCCCCCAAGAGUCCACAUCGACGGGGAGGUUUGGCACCUCGAUGUCGGCUCAUCACAUCCUGGGGCUGUAGUAGGUCCCAAGGGUUGGGCUGUUCGCCCAUUAAAGUGGUACGCGAGCUGGGUUCAGAACGUCGUGAGACAGUUCGGUCCCUAUCCGUCGCAGGCGUAGGAAAUUUGAGAAGACCUGUCCUUAGUACGAGAGGACCGGGAUGGACGUACCUCUGGUGUACCAGUUGUCCUGCCAAGGGCAUGGCUGGGUAGCUAUGUACGGAAUGGAUAAGCGCUGAAAGCAUCUAAGCGCGAAGCCAACUUCAAGAUAAGAUUUCCCACCGCAAGGGUAAGACCCCAGAAAGACUAUCUGGUUGAUAGGUCGAAGGUGUAAGUGCAGCAAUGUAUUUAGCUUAUCGAUACUAAUAGGUCGAGGACUUGACCAAU
rnacentral:rRNA from 1 species